ACCUGUUGGGAGAUUUGCAAAGCCUGUGUCAUGGGUGAACCUGAGGAAUGCUCUCAGGUCCUGAACCAUACUUCCUGGAGAGAGAGCUCUUAUUUGUGCUUGCCUUUUGUCACACGACCCACCUUGCCUUGCCCUUUUUUGGAGUGGAACUCAACUAGUCAUUUUUAAGCUUUUGGUUGCCUACAAGUGACAAUUCACACAGCAUAAAUACCUUUAAAAUUGCAGUCUCUCUUACUCACACAAUUUAAUGAUCAAUAAAUACCAGACUAGGUAUUUUGGGCUUCAGGAGCUAUGACUCUACUGAAGAUGGUUUUAAUGGAUUAGUUUUAAGAUUCAAGGAGUUUGGGUUCUGGGUUAGUAUGUGGUGACUUGGGCGAGUGUGCUUGAGCUCUCUCUCUCUCUCUUUCUCUCUCUCUCUCUCUCUCUCUCUCUCUCUCACACACACACACACACACACACACGGGAGGAGGGCUUUGAAGAAUACUUACAAGUUUGUUUUAUUUCUGCUUAAAGUGCAAUCAAGUGUGAAUUGUCUCCUAACCUUCAUAUUUCUCAAAAUAUUUCCCCUGCUGAUACUGAGGGUUGAGCCUAGGUCCGGAGCAUGCUAGGCGCUCAGCUCCUUCUGAACUGUAUCUCCAAGACCAGCGCCUUCCUUUUAAACCAUUGCCUUUAUCUCGGCAGGGUAGCAGUGGAGAAAGUCUCCGUGUAUGAUACAAUGAAGUAUCUUGCAUUUUCACUGGAUUUACACCUUUUAAGGUCAUUGUGUCUAGAAAAUGCUUCGAGCUGGUUUAUAAGCCUGUGAAGUAGAUUUACAGCAGCCUGCUCAAACAGUUCCAGGCUGCAGGUUUGCGAUAGCAAGAGUCCUGGGCUUAUCGGUUCCUCCCAUUUUUGUAAACAGUACAUAUCUACUUUUGGAGUUGUCCUUAGGCCAAGUGUAGAGAAGCUAAAAGUUUUUAAUAGUGAAUAAAAAUUUAGUGUGAGUAAAAAAAUGGAGGGUAGCAUCACCAGCAUCGAUGGAGGGGAUCUCCAAGGCUGAGGAUAAUCAUAUUCUUUAUGGCUAGAGAGGUGGAGCCUAACCGAGUGGCCUGUCCUGUUGCAUAGGUGAGAUCGGCAUGGUCCAAUCAGAACACUCACAAGUAGCGCCACACACCUCCCAGAACCUUACAAGAGGCUGAACUUCUUAGAACUUAGGUGUUUGUUUUCCUUGAAACUAUUUUUGAGAGCAUGAUUUCAGAAGCUCUUUAAAAACUAUUAUAGAUUUACUUUAGACUGUUUCUCACCUGUCUAAAUUAGAGCAGAGAGUUUAGUUACAAAAUAUGUUGCUGUUAACGUUCUGAGAGGUAACUGAUGGCCUCUUGGGAGUGGGAGGUAGGCAGGCUCAGGAGGGCAGUUCUCGGAUUCUUGUUCAGUGGAGGAAUGGGACAGGGAUUCAAAAGCAAGGGCCUUUAGGAAAGGGCACCAAAUGUAGUCAUCCUGAGGCCCGGUAGUGAGUGUGGAUUGGUUUGCUUCUCUUGUAUUAUGUGUUUGCAGUAUCAGGUUGGCUGGCUCAAAUCUAGCUUUGCUGGUUUAAGUGGUGGUUAAGGCUACAUUAGGCAAUAUGUAUUCUGUGCUUUCACUGGAGAGUUGGGAAACCAGGACAGCCCCUGUCUGUCUGAUUCUACAGCUGCGCUUCAAGGGCUAGGUGUGCGAAGUGUUGUGAAUUAAGGUUCUGGAAAUUACUUUCUAUCUUAGGCAAGUCAGAUGACCCAAUCCUUUCAGAAUCCAAACUGCUAUGUGUGUGUGUGUGUGUGUGUGUGUGUGUGUGUGUGUGUGUGUGUGUGUGUGCAUGUGCGUGCGCGAGUGUGCAGGCUUGCAUGUUUACAUGAAGUACCCAGCUGGUUCACAGUCCCUCCUUACCCGUUCUUUCGCUUUUGUCUCAUGUCACUUUAAGAGCUCAGCAGACCUUGAGCUUGUUUCGAUUUGGGGUCGGAGGUUGUUUGAGGUAGAGAUGGAUUUAUUUAUUUUGUGGUGCUAGGGAUCUGAACUCACUGCCUGGGACAUGCUAAACAACUGUGCUUUCCUGCUGAGGAGCUCCACCCCCAGCCCUACAGAUAGAUCUUGAGGGUACUUGCACCUUUCAAAGUUUUCUCUGCUAUGAGACCAUGUUGAAAAGAUCUGUAAGGAUGAUUGAACCCAAGGCUUUGCAUACUCUUAGGCAAGAGGUCUAUUAACUGAGCCAUAUCCUCAUCACAUUGUCCCCCUUCGAGGCACUAUUUUAAGAAUCAGUGCACUCAUCUUGUUCUAUAAUUACAUAUAGUUACUAGAUUUCACAAACUUUGGACUUCUGAGUGUAUUAUAGGCAGUAAUUCUUGGCACGGUCUUGAGAAGGCUGGGGACAGUGCAGAAUGCGGUGUUCAGAGCUUCUUUCUGUCCCAUGUCCCCGUGUGCCUGCUCUCCAGCCUCCUCCCUGUUUGGCUAAUUAUCUCUCCUGGGUUCCCUGGGCUGCUUCCCUGACCAGUUGGGUUGCCCUCUGGCUGACCUUUUUCCCUGUCAGGCUCUAUGCUCACAGUGAAAGAGUCUCUUCCCUUCUCUGUGUUUCCGUGGUACGGACAGAAAUGCCCCAGAGCUGGCUAGAGGCUAGUGAGACACCUGGCUCUGGAAUAUGCACCUGCCCGGAAGAGAGAGAGGUCUGUGAGAUAGGAAAGCCAGACUGUGGCUGCUAAAAGUAGCCUAUGGCUUUUUAAAAGUGAGAGGGAAAUCCAGAGGAGGGAUUCAUUGACUUGAAAGUUGCUGUAAGCAGUAAGAAUGGUGAUGGUUUUGAUGUUUGUCAUUCCCUUCCUUGUCCUCCUUCUUCCUCUCUCUCCUCUUUUCCCUCAUUUGUUUAAAACAUAAAAGGGAUUCCUCUUGCUUACCCUAUAAGUUAGUUGCAAGACUGAGUUUUCUGGGUAAGUCUAACUUUCAGCUAGUUUUGAUCAGCUUGGUGACAUUUACUCACUGGGGACCUUCCCCCUCCUCAGCAGUCACAGUUUGAAACCCUGGGCAGCUUUCAGAAGAGAACAGGACUUUGGGCUGUGCUAAUAUCCAGAGUUGAUUACAAUGGGUGCUCUUUCCAAGGUUAAAGCUUUGUCUUGAGACAAGAGGGAGAAAGGGGUGGAGGGAAAAAGUCCCAGGCUGAGGAAGAAAAAUAUGCAAAAAUCUCAAUCGGUGCCUGGCCUAUGGGAGGUGUGGGGAUCAUUAGUGCUAGGCUUGAAGCUUAGGCGGCGUGGUAUGGGACCAGUGGGGGCCAUGAAGGGUGGACUUCCUUACUUCAGUUCUUGCUCUGUGCGGGUAACGGUCUAGUUCUCUUCUGCUGCUGUGUCUAGUAACGUUGCACAUUUGGUUCUGUCUCCUUAUGGACCUCGUUGAGGACCAGAGGUUAAACUUUGUACAGUGGAAAUCACAUUCAUUUAUUUAGUCCAAGUAUUUUAUGUACUAAUGAAAAUUUCAGUUUUUCACCAGUUAAAUUGCAAACUGCUGGUCUGUGCCCACACUUUCUUGUGGGCAUUCUUUUUCUCAGGUAAGAGCUUUAUGCUUUAUGUUUCGAUGCUGUCAUGUUUUGUGUAAUUCAGGGCUUCGUUUGUUGGUUUAAAAAUACUUAUUUUGGUUAUUUUAAAUUAUGUGGGUGCCUGAGUGUCUGCCUGUGGGGUAUAUACCCACAAGUGCAGGUGUUCCCUGGAUGCCAAAGGGGUUGGAUUCUCUUGGAGCUGACGUCACAGGCAGUUAUGAGCUGCCUGGUCUGGGCGCUAGAAACUGAAUACAGGCCUUCCAACAGAGUAGUAGAAAGUACAUUCAAGAGCUCAGCUUUCUCUCCGGCCUUUAUCAUCUGUUCUUCUGACCCAAACACAUGUUGCACAGUUCCACAAUUUGCUGAUAGAAGCUGUUCUAUUUUUUUUUUCAAAAGUGGUUUCUUCCUUUCCCUGGGUCUUGUGCUCUUUGAUUCCCUGCCUUGUUCUGUGCAUCCUCUCUAAAUGGGCAUUGGGUCCUUAUGACCUGGUGUCUGAUUAGUGGGGUGGAUGGGAAUGGUGUGAAUGGAACUUCCUUUAUACAUGUUGGUGCCUUCCACCUUUCAGGGCUCCUGGGGUGGUGGUGGGGGCACCUGGCGCCACCCUUCACUUCAAGGUCUGUUUCUGGUAUCUCUACUCUCCAGCCCUCUGCCACUGUUUCUUUCAAGGGAAUGACAGUACCCUAUCUUGUAACUGCCGUGAGGACAGUUCAAUUGUGCAUGUGUGCUGUUGCUUCCUCUGUGGACUUCACCAGUUGCAGGUUAAGGUGGCAGUACCUCAGACCUUGCAUCCGUUCUCAUGACUAGUCCCUCCAAGCUGCAUUUCCCAGUGACGAAGGGUUCUCCUGGGGAAGGUUUACUUUUCAGAUAGGAGGGAAUCUUAAGGUGUGGGAGCAUCGCAUGACUGGUGAGCCGGGUCUCGUGCUUCAGCAGCUGUUUUGGUGGUUCAGGAAAAGCUGCAACAGGUAGACUUCGUGUGCCUGGGGACUCUCAGUUGAAUAGGCAGGAAGCUGUACACAGUUGCAGUCAAUUAUACAAUUAGCAAAAAUUGUUGAGGUAGUUUAAAAUCUAUUCCAGUUGUACAAAUACUGCCUAUGUAGCAUUAUUCUUUGGGGAAGGUGCAUGGGAAAAAGCAGGGAAGUGAGAAGUUCUUAAGCCAAUCACUUUAUCCCCUUGUUUCUCAAGGUUUCAUUGAAAUUGAGCUCUCCCUGAACACAGUCCUCAGUAGCUUGGAAGAAUGCAGGUGUGCUCUAACAGAUGAGGUUAGGUUACGGCCUGUGGGGCUGGCUGAUCCUCACUGCUUACCCACCUCUGUUUGGAAAGACCUGGAGGAGAGGAGGUGGGAGGGGAGACAGUUAUGGGUUGAAGGCAGAUAACAAGUUUCAUUUGCUUUGGUCUGUUUACAACCGCGUGGUAACUUGAAGGUGGCACAGACAGCAAAUGCAGGGCCAUCUGAGGACCUGGCAAGGAUGCCCCUUGAAAAGCCGUUGGCUGUUGCUCCUGGUGCACCUGUCCGUGAGUCCUUUCCCUUGUGAAUGGCCAUGGUUCACAGCCUUGCCCACCUGAACGGCUGCGAUUGUUUGCACCCUUAUUACUAUUUAAUCUAACCCAACCGGUAAGGCCCAUUGUGCUAACAACCAGUCCGUUCAUCUCCUUGAGGCCUGGAUUCAUCGCUGCUUCCUUGUGAACCAGGAUACCGGUUCCAAUCACCGCUCCUAGAGUUUGUUUUGGCAAACGACAAGAAAGCACGAUCUGUCUUUAGGUCUUUGUGAUGCAUACGACUCUUUCCUUUUAGGGUAUUGGGGAUGAAAGAGUGAGUACCAUUUUUUUCCCCACAAGCAACCCUGUCCCACUCUUUUAAGAGCUGGGUUAAGAAGCGAAGGUAAUCCUGGCAGUUUGUCUUCCCUAACUUCUUUGUGCAGCAGCAAGCGGUUGCCCCCAACCCCACUCCCUGCCUGUCCUUUAGCUGUUCAAAUAAUUCACUGCUCAGCUCUCCACUGGUAAACUCUUCUGGGUUACCUACUUGAUGAUGGCUGUUAGGGACCAUUAGAACUGAGCUUCUGAACAUCUAGGUAGCACUAGAUCCUGUGGUACCAGUACUCUACGUUUGAAAGCAUUUGCAUCCGAAAAACUUGUACUUUGGGUUGGCCCACAGGAAAGGGCUGUGAAAACUGUCCGCUGACUGCAACGAAGCCUGUUGCUGAGAGAACGUUUUUAAUUCUUGUGAGAUGAUUGGAAAGAUUGGCCUUAAAACCAAUUCUGAGUGAAGGAAAUGUUUGCCGCACAGCCUCCGUUAUUGUAGGGGGUUUUCUUCUUACCAUUAUCUUAUAAGGGAAGACAAGUGGACAGUGAAUUAACGAUGUCAUGAACUCUGAAACUGUCAGCCACCUUCAAUAACUGUCAACUCACAGCCCGUCCCAUAGGCUCCAUGCUCCAAUACUCGUUCUCCUUCUACAGUUUUUAAAGAAGUAAGUCCGAAGCAUGCCGUUUUAUGUUUAAGUGUGUAGGACUUUGGUUUAACAGGUUUUGGGGGACAUACUCACGUGGUAACUCUUCACUAAAAGACGACUUUAAGAAGUAUGAACAUGGACAAGUUCUGAAAAAUAAUGAACUUGUUUUCUAAAGGAAACUUUGACAAAAGUAUUUACAGGGUGCUUUCUGAGCGCAUAUUUCAUGCAUUCUGUUUUUUAUAUUCUCAAAUUAUAUGUUAUUUUUUCCCUACCUUUGGUUUUGUUGAGGGAGGGUGUUUAAAAAGUUGUUAGGACCUGAGCUGCUCCUGAUCAGGUUGUACAAGUCCCAGUAGUUUUCUUCUUUCUCAGUAGAUUGGUAAUCGAGAGGUCUCUUCCAAGCUAUUAUUAUAUUAGUAUCUAUUAGCAAGCAGAUAUAAUUACAAUGGGUCAUUUAAAAGUGGCCUUUUAGAUAUUAUUAUUAUUUAAUGUAGAGAUAAUUAGCCGGUUGGUUGUAGCUAAGUCUUGAAUCUGAAUCGAGUUAACUCCUGUUUACUUUGCAGGGCCUGACCCUCCAGCUGUGUCUACUUGAGUCUGCUUUAAAUAGAGUUAGAGGCACCCUAUAAGAAAAUCCCCCAAAAGCUCAGAGCCAGCUUCCUGGAACCCUCUGGGCUCCUUUUAGCCUCACACAGAUUAGAACAAUGCUUCCUCCUCCUUGGUACUUUGCAGUUUGUGUUGUAGAAGUUCUUGGCUCUGUUUCUCUGUUGUCUCUCCGUUGAUUGGAGGAAUCUCUUUAAAAUAGAGCUGAUGAUUUUCAUAUUCUGUCUGUGAAAACCUAAUUCUAGGUAAAUUAUAUAGUGUUAGGUGGUUUAAAAACCCAUCCUGCACGUGUCAUUUUUAAGCUCGCAGACUCAGUCAAGCAUAAUUAAACCACUGUCAUAUUUGAUUAGAUACCAUUUACAGUGAAUCCUCUAUUUACAAAAAAAAAAAAAAGAGUUUGAGAAAAACUUAUAGGCAGGAGAACUAAAUGUGAGGGUCUGAAUGUGACUUUACAUUCUGUUUGCAGAUUGGGAUGUGUGGUACCCUGGUUCAGCUUCAUGCUCAUAUGGAGUUUUCAUUUUGUUUUUGACUAAAGUAAUUCUGUGUGUGUCUGUGACUUCCUUUCUCCACCUGGGACAGUGUGAGUUUCUGGCACAUGAGUGCCUAGUGUUUGCAAAACUUUAUAAACAGCCAGAAGAGCUCGUAGCUUCCAGGAAGUGGGUUGUUGAUGCAACCGAGUGAUGGAUGCUGAGGCCGAUACACAAGUGGGGGGAUUGUCCGCUCCUCCUCAGGAGAGGAGAGCCAGAGACCAAGCCAGACUGAAUCUCUACUAGCUAUCAGGGCUACCUCACUCCAGUUCACUGCUUUCUCAGACCCAGUGUCUGUCUUGUCCACAGGUAACCUGUCCUCAUGGAAGAGGCUCUCUCUGCUUUACCCAAGAGAAAACCCAGAAAUUCUGAUAAGAUUUUCAUUUUGUAUUUGAAAUACUGUGUGUGUGUGUGUGUGUGUGUGUGUGUGUGUGUGUGUGUAUGUGCGUGUGUGCGUGUGCAGCGCGUGGGUUCGGUUGUGCCCAUGGAUCCCAGAAGCCGGUGUCAGAUGCCUUGGGGCCGGAGCUGCAGGUGGUUCUGAGCCUCCCAGCAUGGGUGCUGGAGUUCCAAGUCUGGGCCUCAUGGUUGAACAAGUGCUCCUAAUCACUGAGCUAUCUCUCCCGAGAAAAUUUCUAGAUUAUUUCAUAAGUCUGUUUGAAAUAAUAUUUGGGAACAGUUUAAUUAUGUUAAGUCUGGGCCCACAAUGAAAAGUGACUCCUCCUCAAGAUUAGUUAAUGACCUGGAGUCUGUGGAACUUUGUUGCAUGUUCUUACAUUUUCUUGCUCUUUGUUUGUUUGUUCUGGAGACAAGGUCUCCACUGUGUAGCCCAGGCUGGCCUUGAACUCACAGCUGUCCUUAGGUCUCAGUCACUUUAAGUGCUAGCAUUGCAAGUAUGGACCACUGGGCCUGGGCCUGAAAACAAAACAAACAAACAAACAAAACCCGCAAAAACUCCCCAAAACCAAACAACAAAGUGUUUAAAAAAUUGAAGAUGUAAAUUUGCAGCUUCCAUAGCUUUCUUUGGGCCAGAAGGAAACAGGAGGUAAGGCUGGGCCCCCUUCUGAAACACUUGUGUGUGAAGUCUUGGUACUUAGUACAUCUUUCCAGAGGAGAGGAGCCCAGAGCCUUAGGAAUGUCUUAAAGAAGUUCUUGACUGACUGGGGAGGGAGACUACUGACUGAGUUUCUAAAGCUGUGGCUGAUAAGAAUGUGGCAGUAUGGAAACUAGUUUGUGGCUGAGUCUCCGCAGGCCUCCGUGCUGUCCUGGCUCUGCCAUUGAAGGGCAGUGUGACCUUGGGCUGGUCACCUACUUCCCUAUCUGUAAGAGACUUAAGACUUACCAAUUUCAUUUUAGGUUAUGAUUCUGGCUAGUGGAAGCGAAGAGGGAGUAACUUACUGUUUAUCGGAUUUACUGGUAGGAGAGUGAGUGGGUCUGUGUAUGGGGUGCUUAGUUGAAAGUACUCUGGCUUCUCUGCACAGGUAGAUCUACCCAGGACAGACAAAGGAGAAAUGGAGCUUGGGGGGGGGGCGCAGUUAGGGACCCUUCACUGAGCCUUUGUUAUUACCAAGGAGCAGCAAAUAGUGCCUUUGAAAGCACAGGUAGACUGUUCCCAGUCUGAAAGUCCAAAAUACUUAGAAUUGGACAGUUUUUGAGCACGAACAUGGCACAAGUGGAAAACCCCAUCUUGGGAACUUGGUUUUCAGGUACAAGAGUAUUAACAUUUGUGUAUAAAGUUGCCUGGAGGCUAUGUGUGUAAGGCGUAUAUGAAUCAUGAAUGAAUUCACGUUUAGACUCGGGUAGCAUCCUCAUGUAAAUAGCUCAGAACUUUAAAAAAAUCUGAGAUUGGGAAAACUGUGGCCCUGCACAUUCCAGAAAAAAAGGAUUCUGGGCCAAAGAAAACUAUGGGACCUGCAAACUUGGUACCUCUGACUUAGCUUUUUAGGAACGAGAGCUUUAGAGAAAAGGCAAGCAGUUACAGGAUCAUUUUAAUAGGGUUUUCUUAGGACUACUGAGGGCCACGGAUGGAGUCGUUGCAUCAGGGGAGUUGUCCCCAGACUGGUAAUCUUUCAGCUCUGAGGGCUGAGAGUACAGAUUCGGUAGCAACAGCUGCAAGGAAGGACACACCCACAGCUCUGUGCUUUGGAGCCAGCUUGCCCUAGGUUAUAUGCAUGAGCAUGGCUGAUUCUGAGUGGCUUUAAGCCAUUUUCCCAGGGAGCUUUUCCUUUCAGUGUGCCUUUCAGUGUGGAUUCUCAGCAGCCUGACUUGUACAGCUCAGAGACUUCUUUCUCCAAUUUUUGAAUUGCUCUCCCUUUUUAAAAAACUGCCUAACUUGUUUAGUGCAUUAUUUUUGUUGUUCAAUGGGUACCAAAUUUACCAUCUAUGGGUUGGUUUCCUUCUGGUAUAACAUUGUUUUUGGAAAAAUCUAGAUUUAGGAGUUCUGUGAAGAACCUAGUAGCUUUUGUUUUCCGUGUUCUUUUUUUAAACAAUUAUUUGUGUUUAUUUGUGUGUACGUGUUCUUGUUUCUGUGUGCGUGGAUGUAGGUGUGGGGGAGUCUGGAGGCCAGUGUUGGGUGUCUUUCCUCUAUGGCUCCCCACUUUAUUUUGAAGUGUUCUGUCACUGAAACUGAAGCUCAUCCUUUAGUCUAGCUUGGGUGGCCAAAGUCUUCUUUCACAAGCCGGUGCUGAGGUUAGACACAUGCUUCCUUAUCCAGUAAAGUAUGUGGGUGUGGAGCUCUGAACUCAGGUCCCUGUGCACACAGCAUGCAUUUAGCUGCUAAGCUAUUUCUGCAGCCCGUUUUCUGAGCCCUUCACAGCCACCUUCCCUCUAUGGCAUUUGUCAUCUUCACUGGAGAUUCUGGGACUUUUCCUUUCAUGCAGUUUUUACUUGUAUGUUUUCACGAGAUGGGACCUCAGGGUAUUUUUCUGUUCUCUUCCUUUAAGCGUGCUUCUGGGAGUUGGCACUUUGUUUAGGGCUGCGACCUGAAUGGAGUGAAGUUGGAGACCAGGUAGUGGUGUUUCGAACCUCUUGAUAUAAGUAUAGCAGGAAUUAGAGACAACAUUAGGACGGAAUAGUCCAAAAACCUACUUAAAAAAAAAUCUCAUUAAGAGCCGAGGAGAUAGCUUAGUUAUUAACAUGCACGAGAUCCUGUGUUUCAUCUCCAGAAUGCAUGUAACAAAAUCCAAGCCCAAUGGUUUGCACCUGAAAUCCCAGUGCUAGGAGGGCAGAGACAGGCAGAUCCCUGGGCUCCCUGGGCAGCCAUCUUAGUCUUCUUAAUGAUUGACAGACCAGCAAGAGAGUGUGUUUCCUGUCUCAAGAAGGAAAGGUCAGGUGGUACCUAAUGACACAUGAUGUUGUCUUCUCACCUGUACAUGUACAUGUGUACUCCCUCCCACACAUGUACACACAUGACACAGGUGUAGCUGUAUACGUGUGCGGCCUUACAUCUGUGGUUUCAGCACUGGGGAGCUGAAGAAUUAGGAGUUCAAUAUAGACUGAGGUCCAAGUCAGUCUGGACUGUAUUUGAUAUUGUCUAAGCAAACAAACAAAAACAAAUCAAAAGGCAGCCCUUCUGUUGUGUUGUUUAAGAUAAAAAUAGCUCAAAUGAUUUUCCCACCCCUCCAUGAGCUUAAUAUAGAGUGCCAUUUUCUGUUACUCCUGUCCUGUGUCCUUCCGUGUCUUUACCAUUUGUGUCUAAUCUUCUCCUAUAGGAUUCUCAGUCCUAUUAGGCAACUUUUCACCUCACUUAGUGUGGAAAGCCAUAGGAACUGAUUGCUUCAGGCCGGCCUGUGUAGAGGACUGAAGGCACACGGUGUGGGGUUUAGCUGUGAGAUAUGGCCGUGUGUAGGAACUGUGUUGCCCUCAUAACCCACUGAGGUAAAGGGGUGACAGUGUGUGUAGGAACUGUUUGCCCUCAUAACCCACUGAGGUAAAGGGGUGACAGUGCCCUUCCUCGGGUGGGGAGCAGUGCUUCUUAGCUUGCAGUCAGGACUUGGCUUGUGUGUCAGAGAGAACCUUUGGAGAGAAUCUCGGACAUGAAACAAACAUUACAUCAAGUGCCCUUUCCCUCCUCCUCCUCCUCUUUCUACAUUCUGCUUGAGAACCACUUCAAAGAAUCAGAUGUGCUGGUGCCCCAAGCCGCACAGUUCCUGUUCAAGAAUUUGGAGAUAUAAUUGAAAACAAACUGUUGAGCAGAGCAGAUCUAGGCAAGUUCUAGCUUUGAGGGAGAAGGGAAUUCCAAGUUCUUCCUCUAUUUGGAGCUGGUGUCUCAGAACACUUGUUCUGUAGAUGAAUCAUCGGUGAACUCUACAUCUGGGAGUUAUAUGUUGGGAAAUGGCAUUCUUUUUAAAUGUAGAAGAAACAUAAAAGCUUCAAGUUACAGAGUUUAAAAAAGAAACCAACCUGACAUUGAUGUGAAAGCAGCAGAUUGGCCGCGAGAGUGUGGUUCUUAAAUCGAAUGUCCAGGUCUGGAAGCAGCGCCACAGCUAACUUAUGGGGACCCCUGUCCUUUGUUUUAGGGCAGAUGACAUUUAAGAAACAUCACAGACACCAGCUAUUCAGAAUCGUUCGUCAUAGCAAGUGUGACUUCAGAGUGUGACUUACCUAAACAGUUGUUUUGUGCUUCUUAAGUCAGUUCAGCUUCCGUUUGCCGGUGACCGUUCUAGAGCAUCCAUUGGUUCAGGCUCUAUGAGAUGAACACUCACUGUCAUCCGUGAGCUUCACGUCAUACACAGGCUGUGGUUGUGAGAUAAAGCAGUCUGUAGGUCUCUGAUUAAGAGCGGCACCCCUGGAAUGUAGCUGCGUUUGUCUGAGGGACCGUGGACAACUUGUUUUCUCUCUGCCUCAGUUUUUCCUUACCUAAAAUGAGGAUGACUAAAGUACCCACCUUAUUGAGAUGGUUUAAGGACAAAUGCCUGACACGUGGUGGAAGCCCGUAGAGAUGUACCAGUUUGUUUUUAUAGCAGGAUACACGGUGCUAACUAAUUUAUCACCGUGUUGAAGUAUAUCAUGGAUUUUUAUACACCAAGUCCAGGGUUGGUAAAGGAUUGGUCAGGGCCUGGCAGUAGCUGGAGUUAGAAGUCUAGUGUGCUUACACACGGUCAUAACAGAAAAAACACUGUAAGACAGGUCCUGGCCCUUGCAUUCUUUUCAGGUCUGAGUUCCUUGAGGCCAGUCACUGGCCCCUCUGCUCUUGAGUGGUCCAAAUUGCCCAGUUGUGGCUUACAGUUGGUGCUUUAUUAAUGGGGUCUGAAAUGUGAUUCUGGAGUACAUGCUUCUUCCUGGGCUGGUUUGUGCUUUGCCUCUUUGGUGAGGAGGUGGUAGCAGGCACAUAUGCCUUGCCAUCUGUUGUUUAUUGUUUCUGUUACGUUGUGGUUUGUGUCCCUGUUGCGUGUUUCUUUGGUUUCUGGAGCAACUGCCAAUAUUAUAUGCUUGGGGAUCAAAAAAAGUAAACUAUUUAUAAACAGUAAAGUAUCCUUGGGUUUGGAAAGUGUUUUUCUCAAAUGCGUGUAUAUUUGGUGGCUUUAUUAUAAUCUCACUGAUGUAUCAUUAGACAGUUUGCAGAUUGAGGCUCGUUUAAAAGAUGGGCAAGUCAGAGUCCAGCCUUGUGUAACCAGCACACAAACAGCCCUGGUGAUAAGGCCCCGGUGUUAACGCUGACCCGAGUGGUGUAUUUUUAACUCAAGAACAUAUAAACAGUUUAGCCUGCUGAUGGAGUUUAUACUUGCCUGAAAUCCUUGGCAUGCCCAGGGCUGGGUGGUGCUGGGGAAUACAUGUGGUCUUAGGAGAAUGCUGCGACCAGCAGCUACCCAUGGCCCCCAACCUUUCAUUUUAGAAGGAGGAAUGCAGAGAUGGAAAGAACGAAGGGACAUGCUGGUUGCUGAUUUUGUAUGCUCCUGUCCUGCCAGCUUGUCCUGUGGAUAUCUGGAAGAAGGUUCUUCAGUCUUCGAGACUCCUGUCCGUCCUUCUUACAUGUCUGCUUCCCUGGAAACUAUCAUUUGUAAUCUCUGCCGGAUUGCCACCCGGAAGACCCUGCAGUACUCACACAGACUUUGCAAGGCAUUCAUUUGGUUGAUAUGUGGUACCUCAUUGUCUGUAAGCUGCCCGAGAGCCGAGGCUGCCUCUCUUUCUAAUGCUUCGUUUUUCUUUCUUCACAGAAUUAGCAUCAAGUCUGACACGUGUGCAGGCAGCACAGAUGCAGUCGGACAAAGAUUGACAGUCCCUUCUCUCUCUGGCAGGUCUUGGGUAGCUCAGCCUGGCCUCAAGUACGCCCAGUAGUAAAGGAUGACCUUGAACUUCUCCUUCUCCUCUUCUUCCUCCAAGUGCUGCCACCACAGGUGUACAGCUGCACCUGCUGGGUUCCAAGAUGGGGCUCGAGCCCAGGGCUUCAUGCAUGCGGCAUUUCUAGUCCACCGACUGAGCCAGAUCCUGGCCUGCGGUCUUCUUUCUCUCUACUUGUCUAAGUCCAGUAGAAAUGGACAGAGCAGCUCAGGCUUCCCAGGGCUCGGUGUCUGUUCAUUUCCUACUGACCUGUUUGUUUAGCAGCCCCCUUCAUCUUCUACCAAGUGCUCAUGUUGGAAAUUUAAAAUACAGGAAGGUUUUAACACACUAGAACAGGAGUUUGAAAGAUGACAGACAGGCCCUGGAGGCACUGCCUGGGCCCCAUCUUCCCCAUGGAGUCCCUGGGUGUGUUUCCUUGCUGGAGUCUUCCCCAAGGCUGUCCUUGGCAGGUGGGCCAGACUCUACAGCUCCCCUCUGAGUUGUGUUUGGCCAGGGCACCCAUGGUGUAUUUCCCAGCUGUUGACAUGGUCCUCUUGUCUGCCCUUCUGCUGGAGCUGCCUGGUAGAGUCUGUUUUGGGGAGGGUUGCUUUUCACUCAGACUAAGGCUGUCUAGACACCCUUCCCCUUGUGGUUAUUCUGCUCAGUUUAUGCUGAGCCCUGGCCAGGCAGCUGGUUUUGGUUGUUUGAGAUCUCGGUUACUUUGCCGAGACCUCCUCUGACAGAAGGCAUGACUAGGCCAAGGUCGUUUUUCUUCCUCUUCGCUCUUGGCAGAGGGUAGGAGUGCUCUCCUUGACUGGGUCCAGGACAUACAACAUUCAGGGCAGGUUACUGUACCCUCAGGGGACAAAGCCAAAGUAGCAACACUUGAUUUGUAAGGGCCUAUACAACAGACUCCGGCCUCAUGGACUUGUAAAUCUGACCCCUUUCUGUGUGGCCCUCUAGUAUGACACGGUAGCCCCUACUCCAUCCUUAAAUGCAUAGGACCUUCCAAGGCAGAGGAGUCAUUGCGACCUGGCUCAGGGUGGGUCAUCCCUGGGGAGUUAGAUGCUGAUGCAGCGGGAGAUGGGUCUGUGGGGGCUCAGGCUUGCUCACGGGUUUUGAUUAGGGAGUCUGGGCUGGGGUUCUGCAGGGAGGCCUUUGUCCCUGACAACCUGAACUGGGGGGGGAGGUGUGGUUUCUGACUUUGGUUGGUUGAGUGAAGUUGCCUUAGUCUAUGAACAUGUUAUUAAUUACUUUAAAUUUAUAUGGUAGUAAAUGUUAGUAAUAUAAAAUCAAAGGAAAGUGCAAAAGAAAUGAUAAUUGACUUUAUUAUUCAGUGAUAAAUUUUGAUCACCGUUCUGUUGCAUAAGUUUGCAGCAAUGUUGCAAUUGAAUGCCUGCUUCAAACUACAGGUUUUUGUUUUGAGAUGACAAUAGGAUAAUGUUGUGUAGUCCAGGGUGGCUUUGAACCCCACAGCCUCCUGCCUUAGCCUCCAAAGUGUUGGGAUUAUAACACCAAACCCCAUGCCAAACCUGACUCAAAUUAUGUUCUUUUGGUCUUAUUUUGUUUUGAAAUAAAAAUAUAAUUACAUAGUCGUCUUCUUUUUCCUCCCUCCCAUCCUGUGCACUGUUCUCUUCCUUGCUCUCUCAAAUUCAUAGCCUUUGUUUCUUUAAGUGUGUGUGUGUGUGUGUGUGUGUGUGUGUGUGUGUGUGUGCGCGCGUGCAUGCGUGUGUACUUAUUUCUAAAUACAUGAAUACAACCUGCUUAGUCCGUAUACUAUUACUUGUAUGUAUAUGGUUUCAAGACUGGUCACUUUGGUAACCAACAAUUUCAACAUGUUUUAAAGACUGAGUAGUAUGUCUACUACCUCUAUGGUUAAAUUUUAUGUAAAAGAGUAUGAUUUAAGUCACAAUUAAACCUUCCCUGAUAUUGAGCCUCUAAACUUUUCAAAGCCCUAAAUGUUGUCUGGGCAUAAUUAUUUAUAUACUUCUUAGUUCUUAGACCAAGUCACCCUGUCUAGGAUGCUCUUGAUAGGAAAAUUCUUAAGACUUUUGCUACAACUUCCCCCAGGAAAGUGGCUGCUAACCAGCUUCCAAGCUCCUGCUUGCCUUCCUCACCCUCAGAAACCCAGAGGCUGCUUUUGCUCUGUGCUGUGCACCAGGAUGCUACCUUGCAGCCUCCUGGUCUUCAUUUCUUUGGAUGGUGAGGCUGAACACUUUUCACUGGUUACUCACAGGUUCUUCCUUUUUACAUUCCCUUCUUCUUUUCUUCUGUUCGAUCCAGUAACCACCAUGAUGCCCUUAACCGUGGACUUGAGACGUGGCCACUUCUCAGACUCUCUAGAGCUGGCUUUUCUGAGCCGUGGCAGAUCUGAUUCUUUAGAAGCUGUGCUCCUGGUGGCCAUGGCUUGAUUUUGGCCCUGAACCAGGACAUGCUGUUUUUCCUCUUAUUUUUUUCAUAGACUCAUGUUGCUCUUGUAUUCCACAGAGGGGUAUUGCAGUGGCUCUGUGGGUCCCAGGCUGCUAUAAUCCCCGUGGAGCCAGUUCAGCCCACUGAACCUCGGUCCCCUGAUAGUCUGUGGCCAGAGUGCCUGGUACCUACAGCUGGUAGGAAUCAGAGCAGAUUAGCGUGGCUGAGAACCCUUCAGGAGCAGCUUCCAGCAAAUGGAAAUUAUUUUAAAACAAAUUGAUGUGGUUUUUCUGUCAAACCUACUUGGAGCGUAAACAAGGUUGGACUGUAAGCUGCCCGCCUUUCUAUGGACAAGCCUGUGUUUAGAGUGUGGCUUUCAGCACAGUAAACAUGGUCUCUAAAGUGAGUUGUCAUUGUGUCUGAUUUGAAAAGUAAAAGUUGCAGGCGGGAGUCAUGCCGGCAGACAGUUCUAAGGCAGUGCGCAAGACAUCCUUCGGUCAUUUGUCUUUCUGCCACCAAGAUACCACUUCCUGGAAAGGGUUCUGGAGCGAGGAGUCACUGGGUGUUAAAAUGAUUAAGGGUAAGGAAACACCAGGGCAAUUUCUGUGGUGAGAUGCCUUUUAUGUUGCCCCUUUGCCAUGUGGUGAUAUCAAAAACAUCUUGUGAAAUGUUUCAUUCUUGUGUGUUUGUGAGUGUGUACCCUGCACCCUCUCCCAGUCUUGUGUCUUUAAAUUCUGUGCCAGGCUCAAGGUGGUUCCCCAACCUAGGAACAGUAUCUUAUUAAAUUGGCUUCAGCCUCCCUAAAAGGUGAAACAGUGCUUUAAUGUUCUGAUUAUGUAUUAAUGAACAGCCAGGCCAAGGGGCAAUUGCCAAAAAGGUUAAGGUGAGAAGGCUACCAAUAUCAGAGGGACUUUGUACUCUGGGAGUGUGAAUGAUCUUGGGUGAAAGGAGUUUAUUGCACAAGAGGAGCAACUAGAGUCUCUUUGAUGUUGGCUAGCAUCCUCAGGGCUUCCUGGCUAACGCAUCUCUGCUGACUGUGGUGCUGCAGCAGCGGGUGCCCUGUGCAUGGUGCCUGGGGUGUCUGGAACUCGCCCUUGACUGUGAAGCACCAGUUAGGUGCCCGUGCAGAGAGAAGCACUGGCUACUCACACAGGGUCUUGAGUAAACGUCAGUAAGCACCAGCCCUACUCCAGAAGGAACAGCUGCACCUCCUAGGCUUUCCUCAGGAGGGAGUUUUUGAGAAACAGCAUGCUAUUAUUCUAAAACCUCCAGCCCCAACCACAGAAAGAGGUUAGAUCCUAAUCUUAAUAUGACUAAUUUAUUUUCUCCCCAAUGCACUGACAUUUCCUCCUGCCUUCUGGCCUGUUGUAAAUGUUUGAAUGGCUGCUUAUUGGGAGCCCUGCUUUCCAUAUCCUUAUUAAAUAAUUACUCAAGAAGAAAGAAACAAAGGAAGAAAGAAAAAAGCUCUUUCAAAGUCUAGAGGCCAUGGGAGGGAGGAUUAGCUCCAGCUCAGGUUGUGUGUGGUGACGAUUGCCUGAGCCUGGAUUGUGUCCUUCCAGAAGCAGAAAGGGGACAGAGCUGUGCCUGCCUCUGCCUCCUGUGUGCUGGAAUUAAAGGCAUGUGCUGCCAUUCCUGGCACCCUUUUCCUUUGUAACUAGCAGCUUUAGGAGAUAGAGUUUGAACGCCACAUUCAUUUUUGAAGUGUGGAUUCUGAGCUUUUAGUACAUCCAGAGUCGUGCAGCUGUCACCACUAAUUCUUUUUAAUUUCUCCGACACAAAACCCCAUGCUAGUCGGUGCUCUCAUCCCCAGCUCCUAGAGCUUUCUGUGUUGGUUUGCCUGUUUUGAAUGUUGGGUGUAACUGGAACCUGCCUUUGCUUAGCCUAAUGCUUUCAGAGUUCUAAGGUAUUGUACAUAUCAUUCCCCCUUGGCUCACUUAAAAGGAUAUUUAUUUAUUCGUGUGCGCACACGCAUGCACUCUCAUGUAUGGGUGCUCAUGGAGGAUAGAAGAGUGCCAGCUCCCCCAGAGCUGGAGUUGCAGACAGCUGUGAGCAUCCUGACGUGGGUGCUGGGAACUAAGCUGGUUCUCUGUCAGAGCGGCAAGUGCUCUAACCACUGAUCAUCCACCCAUCCCCUUCACCCCACUUUGCCUUUGAGGUUUUGUGGAUAGAACACAUUUUGUCUCUUCAUUUAUUAGCCAGACAUUUGGGGUUUCCCCACCUUUUGCCUGGCAAGAAUAACACAGUUAUGAACUCCCCCGGCCAGGCCAAGUCGUGUUUUGUAGCUUUGCCUCUGUUUCCUGGAUGCUGGGAUGACAUGCAUGUACCGUACCAUAAAAUCUGGCGUGACGGUUUAUGUGUAAGUUUUGUUUGAGGGUAUAUGUGUACCUUGGGCAUGCUCCCCAGCACAGGUGGAAUUGCUGGGGCAUAUGGAAAGUACAUGGUUUGGGGGGGAUUCCUAGACUAUUUAUGAAGAAUCCGUACCAUUUUUAAAAAGAAAAGUAGUAUGAUUUCAGGUCAGGAAGGUUUGGGCUGUUUCUUGGAUAGGGAUGAUCCUCUCUGGUUUGUCCUUAGGCUUAGAGCUCUUGGAGCCUUCUGGUAGAAAUACAGAUAGAAUUACAAAUGCUCAUUAACUCAUAAAGGUAAUAUCCCACAACCCAUCGACAGCGAGAAACACUAAAUUGAAAAUGUAUUUGCUACUUGUGACUUGUAGCUUAGCAACACAAUGCUUGGUUGUGUUGGUUGCUGGGAGCUGUGGCUUGCUUGCAGAGAGUAAAGAUCAGACCACACAUCACUACUAGCCUGGGAAAGAUGACAGUCAAAAUUCCAAGUACAGCUCCUACUGUGUAUCUGGCUGUUGAACCACUACAGAGUUCAAGAAGAGUGACUGUCUGUACUUAGUGACUUGCCCCUUGUUUGUAACCCCAAGAGGAGCAGUAAAUGUGGCAGCACAUGGCAGUGGUUACUGUGGGGACUCUAGGUGUCUGAGUCCCUAGGGGUUAUCAGUGCUGGCCUCUGGCAGGACAGACGAGGGGGGGCCUUGCUUUUCUGCAGUCUGCUGAAAUUUGCUGUGCAUUUCCCCCAUCUCUGGGUCUGACCAUUUCUUCUGCUUUGGGGCAAGCCUACUUUGCCAACUGAGUAGCUAUAAAUUUAGGCAGAAAUGCAGAACAGAGGCUAUCCAAAGGUAGGCCGGGUAAUUGCUCUGGACAGGUUUACAAUUGGGAGGUGUGAAGGCCUUGGUGGAAACAGGAAGCUGGGGGAGGGAGGACAGAUUGAACUUGAGCAGUUCAGGGAGAUAGACAGACACAGCUAAUUGAAAACCAUGGCUCUGGUGGCUUCUAAUUGGAAAGGAAACCUCGGCAUACAGUGGGGGUUUUGUUGUGUUGUUUUGUUUUGCUUUUUAAGCAGAAAAGCAGAGGAAAAAGUGGCUUAGGAGGUUGGUUUGGGAUCUUUUCAAGAAAUGGCAUUGUGGACUAGAACCUGUAUUUUUAAAGCUUUAGGAAAUUGCUUUGGAUUUUUAAGUGUGAGCCUUGCUUUAAAGUGUGCUUGCCUGAACUCAGCUAAUACAUGAUCAGUUGUUUCACUUAUUCUCAAACCAGCUUUUCAUGACCCUGGACUUUUUUUGUUUUAUUUUUCUGUUACUUAAAACAGAAUAUCGGUUUAUUAUACCACAGAUCAGGAACUAGACUUAUUCCAGGCUCCCUGCAACAACUUGCAGAAAGUCCUCUCAAAAGUGAGGUAUAAAAGGUGUAUGGGGAGUGGAGGUGACAGUCUUCCUUGAAGUGCAGUGGUUCUCAACCUGUAGGUCAAGACUCAUUUGGGGCUUGAAUGACCCUUUCACAGGGGUCACCUAAGACCAUUAGAAAAACACAGUUACAAUUUAUAACUAGCAAAAUUACUAGUAUGAAGUGGCAAUGGAAAUAAUUUUAUGGUUCGGGGUCACCACAGCACUAGGAACUGUGUUGAAGGGUCUCAGCAUUAGAAAGGUUGGGAACAUGUUGAAGUGUGUGGUGGUUAACGGUUAAUCUCUGUAACAAGGCUCAGGUGGACCUUUAUGUUGCCUUGCAACCACGAUGGAUUCAUAAACCCACACAGUGCAGCCAACUCCUAUCCUCAGUUUAAUUUCCUUUGGUGGAAAUGACAGCCAGCGGCUGUUUGGCAGUCUCGUAUUCUUCAGCAUGCUGAAGACACUCACAGGGUAGCUGACGAAGACAUCGUCUGCACACAACGUUAGGAUCCAUGCCCUGGCUGUAACAUUUCUUUGAAAAAUGCGGGAAAGUGAUUUUAAGUGAGACUAAGGAAAGAGAGAGUGGUUACGGUGGGAGGGGGAGAGGGGCGGGGUGAUGAGGUGCAGAGGCACGGCUUGUCUUCUUGGGAUAAGAAAGGUCCUUUGAGCCAGAGCCGCUUGUCCCUUGAAUGGUGGUUAUUCCAGCUCUACCCUCUGCUCCUUUGUGCCUGGUGUCUUUGGGGAUUGUUGGCUUGGAGGAUCCAGAUUAGAAACAGGAGAGCCUCAGCAGCACAGCACUGUCCCCUGGUGCGUUCCUAUAGGGCUGUUAACUGUCCACCUGUUCUGAGAGGCAGCAAGGGCCUUGCACUGUGGAGCCCAGAGGCCCAGGGACCCGGGUAGUGCUAUGUCUGGCCUCACAAACAGCACUUUGAAGUGCUACCUGCUCCUAAUGGCAACAGAGCCAUCAGUUAAGCAGGCAGCUGUUAAGCACAGGAGUGUUUGCACAAGCAACCUUCAAAUUUUCUGAUCCUUGAUGAAAGCUAGUUGGUUGUGAAUGAUUAACUUCAGUGUGCAUGAGGAAAUACGAUCCACUUAAGUGUCAGGUGUAUUUUUAUGUAAGAAAAAAAUGAAACUAACCACACCCUCAGCUGUUACCAUUUGGGGUUGAGAAUCUGUGUGCUCAUCCAGCCAGUGCAUCCUGCAGUGUAUUUAAAGCAGAGUAGGAAUGUCUGUGUGGUAGCUCUCCACUGGCCAUCACACUCUGCGACAACGGGAAGAACGGAAUGGGUUCUGUGAGGCAACGAGAUGUGCAAACGUGACGGUCUUAUCAGGCUACAUUGACUAUCUAGAUUCACAGGGAGGUGCUGGGUGGGGGGCUCCUUCACUUUGGAAACACAUUAUAUCGCUACAUCAAAAGAGUUUGGAUAAAAGGGUUGGCUUGAGAAGUCUGCCCCAGUGUCACUUGUCCAGCAGUUCUACAAGAGUGAUUGAGGCAGGUGCUCUGUCUAAUCUGUCCCAGGGGAACCAUCCUUCCUGAGUACUUUGAUUCCAGUGCAGUGUGUCUCUUUGAGAGGAUGGCAAAGAGCUGACUGACUGAGGGAGCUACAGUGGAGCAUCCAUCGGGGACUCUGUGUCAUAAGACAUUUGGAGAUAGCCAUUGUGAGCUGGCAUGUGCAGCAGUAGUCAGAGGUCCCUACAGCCCCUGAAGCUGAUAUUAUUAGGGUAGUUAUUUCUUUUAUCAUUUACCCGGGAGAAAAAUCCUGAUAUGGUUUUCAUUUGGAGUCAGAGUGGAGUGAGGUCAUGGGGAAAGGGUAAGGGAGAAAGGAGUCUGGAAAACCACAGCUGACCAGAAGGCGCCAUCUCAUAGCCCAGGUGAGGGUAGCUUGUGAGUGGUGGUGACCAAAGUGAUUGUGCAGUGUGAGUGGGAGUAGUGUGCAGAGGGUGCUAGGCAUGGCUCUCGGGGUUCAGUUACUUUACUGCAAGCCCAAAGCUUUGCUCAUUUCCAGGACAGAAGGCAUGCAUGCCGUGGGAGGGAGAAAGCAGGUGCUCUCUGCCUUUCUUCCUUGCCUCUUCAUUGUCUUCAGGUGCAGUGACAUUUGAUAUUGGCAGUUCUGAAAUACAUUGAGGGCAUUAUUCUCAAGCUGCUGGGAUUAGUCCUGACAUAAACGGUGGGUCCUACCGCCAGCCUCCUGUAUGGCGAUGAAGAAAAGAAACUCAGGCUGUAAAUGAAUCUCUGUUUUGGGGCUCUGUAGUGGCAAAUUAUGUGAAUGGCUGAAUUGAAAAGGUGCCUGGUUUUAUACCAUCAUGAAUACCCAGGCCUUAGAUAAAUAUUGACACCAGCAGUGUGACAGGUCUACCAUUUGUCUCGUGUUCUUAGGAAUAAAAGAUCUUUUCUCAGGUGCUCAUGACCUUAUAAACCACCCUGACGAGUUUGUGCAGGUGCUUUUCUUCACUGGUUCUCAGGGCUUGCGAGUCGGUGGUUUUCCCUUUUGUGCUUGUGCAGUCUUAAGCCUGGCCUGAUCUCAGCUCACUUGGGCUUGAUCAUGGUUGAGUUGGCUGCAAAUGACCGUAGUCACCCACACAGUUUGACAGUUUGGCAGUCCUUGGGCCAACCUGGGUUGGGAAUACCUUUAAUGACAUUGGUUGAAUUUGAAGAGUGAGUGCAGUGGGAUCAUGGUAAGAAAGGGAAAGCAUGUAUAGACCUGUCUGGUGUACAGACAUGGAGCUCAGCCCAAUGCCUUCUGGGUAAACUCUGCCUGAAUCCUAAGCCCUACUUAUGGCACAGAGCUAGCCAGACACUCCUGAAGAUAGCGCUGGUCUUGUCCGUGUGAACUAUCCAGCAAGCCACCUCCCUAUCCUCUCUACCCAGUGCUUGUGGGCCAGGGCAGUCACGUUAGGGUCGCUUGAAGUAGGGCAGGGUGGGGACCAGGUUCAUCAGCAGCUCUGGUUUGAGACCAUCUUUGAAAAGGUGGGAUUGCCAAAACUGGGGCUGGUAACACACAGAAAGUUGUAGAUGGAAGUUCUACCUGUACGUAGGGCAGAGUGUCAGUGGUCCAACCCCAUGAGUGUCUGCAUCAGAAGAGACCUCGGGCUUUGAUUCCCUGCUCAGAUGGGAACAUGCUCUGAGGAUUGACUAUGCCAUGUCUCCUCGCAUACACAGGAUAUAGCGUGUCUAGAUCUGUGGGUCUGCUAUUGGUUAUGUACACAGGAUACCGAGAGUCUAGGUACAUGUGCUGUAUUCUUUAGGAUUUUGCCUUUAAGCAGAAUUGGAAAAGGGGUCAUUUAUAUGGGACGUUGUUAGAACUUGUAAUCACCUUUGCUGGUCCUAUCUCACAGGUACAGUAGCAUAGCAUCUGGUAGAGUACAGUGUAGCAGAUAGAGUUGGCCGCUCAUGUCAACUCUCUAAGACCUGUCUCUUGGGAGCAAAUACCUAGGACAGUACGUUUUGAGUGGAGAAGCAGUGAUAUGCUACCGUAGCCUCACUGAUGAACAAGUGAAAAAUACAUAUUUGUUUUAUGUGUGGUAGAGUUUUAGUGCAUUAGAGGAGAGAGGUCUCUCUGACAUGUGUCAUCUGAUUCUCUGCACUCGUAAUGUCAGGAAAGGGGAGGCCCAUGUUGGGACAGCAGAAAGUAAUCUGUGAAGGGUGCGUGCUGAAAUACUGUUGUUCGGUCAGAUGCUGACUUUGUAUCUGUCAGGGAUGUCAGCACCGGAAGCAGAGUGAUUUCCACUGCCCCUGCUUCUCAAGCUGAGAAGAUAAUGCCGUGGACCGUCUUUCAUGAUCACAGAGUCUUGUGAUGUUUUACUGUUGCAGAAAGAGAACUGGCUUCCGUCUUCAGCUGGGCAUUCCGUAACACACACAAACUUACAAAGCUCCAUGGAGAAACAGACAGAAUAAAAUACCAUGUCUAUAAGCUAGUUAAUAAAGUUGUUCACUGCUGGCCAUGUGACUGGUCUGGUAGAACUGUGUCUUCAGUAAAGUAUUUAGCUAGAUAGCCCCAUGCCUCCCUGUCACGCAGAAGAUGGUGCUUGCUUGUGAAAUUGUGAGUCUAUUAAUUUUUCUCAUUUGGUUGAUUUACUCGUGAGUUCUGCUUGCUCACUGCACUUGAGUAAUCCUCGAUUUUAAGUUUGGGGUAGGCACGAAGGGGAGGCCCUUGGUCUAGGAAAUAAUGCUUGCAGAUACCUUAUACUUAUAUAUAACUUGGAGCAUCCUGAUAAAUUCUAGUGAACAUGGGCUUCUAUAUUGUGUUACAGAUUCUGAUGCUCGGGCUUCCUGUAGACCCACAGUGACAUCACAUAGAGAUGGCCGCAGGCAGCAGGUGUGACUUUAGCUAAAAAUGCAAGGACACAUGUAAACAAGGGACGCUCACAGCCCACUUGCAAGGGCUUUCCUUAUAAGAAGUUGCAGGAUGGGAAAGUUGUUACACUCACUUGUGUCCUGUGCCUAUUAAAGCGUCUUAUGGGGUAGAGAGAGGGACGAGGGACUGAUAACAUUAAGGUAAACUGCAGUUUGUACAGAUGUAUUUGUUUAAAACACACCACUUUCGUUUCAUUCUUCCUUUCAGUAGAGGAAGAUAGGCAGCAUAUUAUAUAUUGUUCCUUUGUAACCCAGGGCACAUUUGCCUAAAAUUAUCCUUCUAACUGCUUACUUUAAACAUUGAGAAGUGUAGUGAUGGCUCCUGGGUUCAGUUUCCAGCACACACAUGGUUACCCCCGUGGGCCUUCCCCCAUGGUUACUCCCAGUACCCACAGCUCACAACUGUCUGCAAUGUUCCAGAACAUCUAGCAGCCUCUUUCGACUUCUUUGGGCACAUACAUAAAAUAUAGUUUGAAAAAAAACUACAAAUCAAAUGAAAUUUAAUAGUUGGGUGUAAUUCCAGCACUAGGGAGGCAGAGACAGAUGGAUGUCUGAGUUUGUGGCCAGUCUGUUCUACAGAGUGAGUUCCAACACAGGCAGGGCUAAACAGAGAAACUCUGCCCCAAAGGCAAUAAAACGGUGAAGGAAUGAAUGAACAAAUAAAUAUUGAAAGCUCCUGAUUAUUACAUGUUAAGAAGUGAGUAUCAAGUUGUAUGUAUGUAUGUAUGUAUUUAUUUAUUUAUUUAUUUUUUAUAUAUUUUAAUUUCUGUGAUAAGGAGUUUUGUACUAGUAUUUUACCCAAUUGGUUUAUGGUAGAGGAAAAAGAAUUAGAACUGAUGGUUAAAAAACAAAAACUGUAAGAAAUUAUUUCCUGGUUCUAGAAAACUGGAAACUGGUGGGUGGUCCAGAUAGAAGAAUUUUGUUUGUUUGUUUUGAUGUAUGCCUGUUUUACUCAGAGGAAGUGAUGAACCAUGGGCCUUCACUCUUCAUACAUAUUUGCAUCUUCUGUCAGAAAGACGGGUGUGGAGCUCGGCCCCCUUCACCAGGGAUGCUCCUUACAGAGCUGUGCUGAGACGGUUAUUUUGCUCAUUGAGAGUGGUCCUCUUAUGGCUCUUACUGAAAACACAUAGAUGUGACUCUGGGCAUGAAAUAGAGCCUCACAGCAUUGUGGGUGGUGGCUCUGCCGUCAGAAGUGUCUGUCAGGGUAGCAGUUUCCAUCUUCCUAUGCAUACCGUAAAGCCGUGGCUUUUGAAUCAGUCUUGUGAGCUCAGGAAACACACUGUCUCCGGAGAGCUUAUAUUUGGUAGACUUUGCAAAGUACUUGGAGAACCCAGGAUUCCAAAUUUAUUCACUAGAUUAAUAUGUCUUUUUUCUUAGUCCCUCAUGUCCUGUCCCUUUUGCCCAACUGAUUUUUGUUGCUCUAGAGGCAAAAGUCUGUUCCGGGUUCAGUAGAGCGUUUGGAAGCUCCGCCUCCUCCUCCCUCUCCUGGGAGCAGUAUUCACUUCUAAGUGGCCAGAAGUGAGCACUGUCUGUUCUCAGGCCUGGUGGCCAUCUUGGGGUCAUGAAGUGCCCGACUCUGAGUGUGACCAUGCUUUAUACUUCAAAAGGUAGAUUAUGGCCCAAGGGUGACUGCUGUGCAAGUAAUGGAUUUUCAAAACCCUGUAGAAUUUAGAUUCUGGGAGAGUGAAUUUAUGAUUUCUUGGUAGACUUAAUAGACCAGGGAAAAGGCAAUUCUAAGGGGCUAGACUUGUGACCCUACUUCCCUCACAUUUGCAUUUCUAAGUCUGUUUGAAACCCUUCUCUAACGGUAAAAUCAAAUGGUGGCCUUCAGUACCUCUUCCCUGUUUUCAUGGUCAUGAUCACUCUCUGCUGGUGGCAGAUUUGUGUGUGUGUUGGGGGUCAGCCUUGUGACAGACAGCCAUCCCAUGCUCAAAUGAAUGCCUUUUACUGAUAAAGUGCCCACCAGGCAUGGGCUGGAGUGCACCUUCAUCAUGGGAUUAAUUCACUUACAGGUGUUAAUGGUGCACAGACCAUGUUAACAAGUGACUAUUUUGGGGGAAAUUGUGGCUUCCCCUAAGUGUCAGCUUCCACCAAGCAUGCUUAAAUAACAAUUAAAAGAAAAAAAACAACCAAAAACCAAAAAACAAACCAUGCCCAAUCACAUCACCAAGCAAAGAUUCUGUAAGGAAAACAGAUCCUGGAAUCCCUUUUGUAAGGUGUAAUGCAGAAAGCAAGUGCUGUUUGUCUGCUGUGAUGCCAGGAAAUAUUUCAGGGGUUCUGUUGCUUUAGGUUAAAAUGUUUAUGUGGAGGAACAAGUAGCUAAUUCUGUUCCUGCGGAAAGAACUUCAGUGGUCCAGUGAUUGACAUUUUAGGAGAGUCUUGGAUGAGAUUAGGUUAGGAUUGGAGUAAUCUUUGGCUUACCUGCUUGUUGGAGUGAACCAGGAAGCUCUGGGUUCCUCUUUGCCACUUUGCCCUUUCGUUUCUGUGAGGUUCUGGUCGCUUGGCGUCUCUAGCAGUUUGCUUUACUCUUUUUGUGGCUCUUUGCUCCUCUAGUGUCCUCAGGACUCCUCCCCCAGAAGAGUUCUCUUCUGCCUCAGCUUUGCUUUUAAAAUCAUCCUGAUCACAGCACAUCUUCCUUGUCCUGGAUGCUUCUGGACUUUAUGGGCCCAUCCCAGGGUGCUAGACUCAACUAGGGCCAAGCAGAUAUUGCUAAUGAGUUUAGAGGGCUCUGGAAGACAGAGAGGGUCAGGAAUGGUGAGGUUGAUGGAACAGAAAAGCCCACACAGUGAUUGUUCUCAAGAGAAGCUGCAACAUACUCAUUGGGGAAAUAGUUUGUUUUGUUUAACAUACAUACAUAUGUACAUACAUACAUUUAUUUAUAUAAUGUGUUUGGGUAUUGUGCUUACAAGCAUGUACACAUGUAGUGUGAGCCGAAGCCAGAAGAGGGUGUCCUAUUCCUCUGGAAAUGCUGUCACAAAUGGUUGUGAACUGCCAGGUGGGUGCUUGGAAUCAUUUUUCCAAAUGCUCUUCAGUCAGAAACAAACACAUUUCUCUGUAGUUCAGCUUCAGCUCAGGUCUACCAGUGUGCAACUUUUAGUGUGCCUCUGUGAGAAUUUAUCUGAGAGUCCCACUGGUCAGGGGUCCUACCUGAUCAGUAAGUUGUAAUCUUCAGACAACAAAUAACAUCUUAUCCUAAUUAGAUCAGAAUUUAUUUAUUCAUUUAACAUAUUUUAUAUAUGGGUGCUUUGCUAUGUAUGGACACCACAUGUGUCCAGUGCCCCCAGAGCCAGAAGAAGGUGCCAGAUGUCGUAGAGCUUGAGUUACAAAUGGUAGUGACCUGCAUGUGGGUGCUAGGAAAUGAAUCCAGGUUCUCCCAAAGAGCAGUCAGUGGUCUUAAUUGCUGAGACAUCUCUCUGGCCCUGUGUGUGUGUGUGUGUGUGUAUGUGUGUGUGUGUGUGUGUGUGUGCGUGCAUGUGUGUGUAUACAUCUAUACAUAUUUAUGCAUAUGUACAUGUAUAAUUAGUCUUCAUGGUAGACAUAUACUCAAACAUUUGUUGCAUUUGAUUAUUAUUGGUUACUAGAGGAAAAUGUACGUCUAUAUCAGAUUAACCGUGGAAAUGAUAUUAGGAUAGAGUACAUUCGAGACCUUCUGAAGUUAUAGAGACAGCAGCAUUAGUUGGCACUGGAAUUCAGAGGCCCCAAGCUGUAGUUGCUGCUCAGUAGAGUUUUUGCCUAGUAUGCAUGACGCUUGAUUUUCUAGUUCUGCAUAAAACAGACAUGAUACAUGCCUGUAAUGCCAGGACUUGGGAGGGAGAGGCAGGAAGAUAGAGGUUCUAGGUCAUCCUUGGGUAGCACUUUCAGGUCAGUUUGGUCUACAUGAGACUGUAUUGUUUUUAAGUUAUUAAAAAUUAGAGGCUCACCCUAAUUAACUGACUUGACUUAAAGAGGAGUGGGUGUGCUUUCAUUCUUACAUGGCUACACUGUUUUGACUGUGUGUUAGAUUCUCUUGCGUAACCUUUUAGGCCUCCCUUAUUUUCAGGGAGAAUGGUCUGUGUAGCAUUUUUAGAAUUUGAAAUAAUUGCAAACUAUUACCAACUUUCUGAAAUUGAAUUAAGCAGAAACACAGAAUGAGUGGUAUGUAUCUUGUUGGGAGCCUCCCAAUUUCCUUAUUCAUAAAAGGUAUUCCAUUGCUAAACCCUGGGUUCCAUGACUGUGGCUUUUUUUUUUUUUUUUUUUUUUUUUGGUUCUUUUUUUCGGAGCUGGGGACUGAACCCAGGGCCUUGUGCUUCCUAGGCAAGGGCUCUACCACUGAGCUAAAUCCCCAACCCUGACUGUGGCUUUCUUAAGAGCAAGCACGUUCUUCUGAGUGAGAGCCCUGGGCUCUAGGUGGAUGAUUUUAGCCUAAGUAGCAAAUGUAUCAUUCUUAAUAUGAUGUGUAUUAACAGGCUGGUCAUUGUUGGUUUCGGAAAGUGUCUACAUUAGAAAAAGAGAUAAGACAUGUCUAUGAUUUAAAGUGUUCUCUAUGUUCACAAACCUUGCAAAUGUAGGGGCCAUAGCAGUGAUUUCAUUGGAGGUUGCUGUGUGACAUGUUAUUCCCCAGAAGGUACAAAUGCAGAAGAAAUAGUCCUAGAUGGGUAGGGCUCAUGGGGCUUGAACAGUUCUUACACUUUAGAAUUCUCAAAAGGAACAGCCCUGCUUUCCUGACUCUAAGGCAGUCUCCUCGGUAAUGGGUGACAAACACCACAGGUUGUGAGGUUGAAGAAGAGGUGAGUGGCAGUGCGUGGCAUACAGUAUCGUGAAAAAGGAGUCUUCUGCACUAGCUCUGGGCACCUCCAGGUACUUAGAAGUUGGCCAUUGGGUGGCCUCUAACCCCUCCUCCUUUGCUGUGUUUCACUUUAGUAAAUAUAUGAAAGCUUAAACUAAGCAAAAGUCUGUGUAGUCCAGGAGCCUGGCCAGGGCUGAGUAAUGGGAAGUGUACUCACUUGGAAACCAAACUGCACAGGGAAGCCUCAUUUGGAAGGGAACGCUUUCAUGAACAGGGACCAACGCCUGCCUUCCGCGUUGAAUUAUCGUCUGUUAAGGUUGAGAACCAGGGCCAUGCUUUUGCUGGGCUUCACUGCGAGAGUUCUCCUGUAGAGGCUUGUUUGCGGAUGAAAUGCCAAUUGUGUUGUCUAAUGAAGCGAGGCUACUUCCUCACCAUAGCUUGCUCAAAAAGUAAGUGGCACUUUUUGUCCCUCAGCUUCCAAGAAGUCAAUGAAUUGUUGUUCGUCAACUUGGAGGCAUGCAUGCCAAGUUUGUAGCAUGUGGUUCAGGCUAUAAUCCAGGAAGGUGCUGGUCAGAUUAGGUAAAUACUGAUUAAGCCUAUAGCAUUACACUGGAGCAGUUUUUAUUAGAGUCGCCUUCCGAGGGACUUGGGAUUUCCAGGGUCCAUUUCCUGCUGGGAUAGUUAAGAACUUUGCUGAGAAGAAUUCGGGGCCAGUCUGGUGGUACAUACCCAAAUCCUAAUACUUGAGAGGUGCAGGAAGAUCAGGAGUUCAAGGUCACCCUCAGCUGUUUAGUUCGUUUGAGGCCAGCUUGAGUUACAUUACUAAGACUCUGUCUUAAAAAAAAAAAAAAGAGAUGACUUGGAUUAGUUUAUUAAUAUCACUGUACAUUUUAAACAAAGCUCUUGUGUUAUUAGGAAACAGAUUUGGAGUGCUGGAGAUCAAAUUGAGGACCGUGGGUAGUAGGCAAGCUCUUUCCCACAGCCCUGAGUUAUCAUCGUUAUUCUGCGUGGUGUUGGGGGUCAGGCAGCCUCUCACAUAUGCCAGGCAAGCACUCCACCUCGAGCCCCUAAGAUUAACUUCUAACACCUGUCUUUCUUCUGUUGUUGCUAUUUCAGUUAGAAUAGUGGUCGUAUCAUGACUUAGAAGCAUUGGUUCCAACACAGUUUAGCAGGAACUUCAGUGAUCACUCAAGUGCCCGCCUCCAUGUAGUGCACAUGUCUGUUGAGCGCCUGCAAUAUGGUUAUGUGGUGAGGAGCUGAGCUCAGACUCAUACAUUAAGUGGUUUCAGUGAUCGGCCACAUGAUUAGCCAUGGUGUUUUUCAUAGUAGUGAUCUCUCAGCGAUUGAGAGUCUCUGCCUCGGGGGCGGGGAGCUUACUGAGAAGCAUGCUUAGUGAGCACAGGGACCUCUUAAACAGUGUGCUUUUCAGACACGCCUGAAUAAAACUUGAGCUGUUCUCUGCAACCCUGCCUCUUGUGUGUUCCACAAGUGGUGGGCUGCACGGCCAUCUUUCAGCAGAUUAGCUGAAAAAAGCGUCUGUGGCUGGGUUCAGUUGUUUGAAGAUCUGCGUGCUCUUUGUGCAAGAACAGGGGCGAUUUUGUGUUGUGACAAUGGCCGAUGGUACUCAGUGAAAGCUGCAGUUGGCAGGGACUAAAUUCCCUGAGGUUUCUUUCCUUGUGAGCUCUUUGCUACCGAAAGGUGCAGAAGUACUUUGACAGUGUGUCGUGCUGACAGAUGGAUUGUUUUGACAGGAGAAUGGGAGCCCUCCACUGAAGACUCACUCAGAUGUCAGGCCAGAGGGGCAGCCCGUGCUCCUUGAAACAAGUGGGAUGCUUUAGAUGUGUGUGCCUGUCAGCUGCCACCUGGAGGGACAGAUUUCGGUAGUUAACCCUUUCACUGUUUUUGGGAUGGGAAACAAAUUUAUACUCAUUUGUGCUGGCUUUGUGGGCUAAGUAUAUUUCUUUUAAUGUUGGAAAA